rnacentral:rRNA from 1 species
AGUGAACGCUGGCGGUAGGCCUAACACAUGCAAGUCGAACGGCAGCACAGUAAGAGCUUGCUCUUACGGGUGGCGAGUGGCGGACGGGUGAGGAAUACAUCGGAAUCUACUUUUUCGUGGGGGAUAACGUAGGGAAACUUACGCUAAUACCGCAUACGACCUACGGGUGAAAGCAGGGGAUCUUCGGACCUUGCGCGAUUGAAUGAGCCGCUGUCGGAUUAGCUAGUUGGCGGGGUAAAGGCCCACCAAGGCGACGAUACGUAGCUGGUCUGAGAGGAUGAUCAGCCACACUGGAACUGAGACACGGUCCAGACUCCUACGGGAGGCAGCAGUGGGGAAUAUUGGACAAUGGGCGCAAGCCUGAUCCAGCCAUACCGCGUGGGUGAAGAAGGCCUUCGGGUUGUAAAGCCCUUUUGUUGGGAAAGAAAAGCAGCAGGUUAAUACCCCGCUGUUCUGACGGUACCCAAAGAAUAAGCACCGGCUAACUUCGUG